AUUGAACGCUGGCGGCAGGCCUAACACAUGCAAGUCUAGCGGAUGAAGGGAGCUUGCUCCUGGAUUCAGCGGCGGACGGGUGAGUAAUGCCUAGGAAUCUGCCUGGUAGUGGGGGAUAACGUCCGGAAACGGGCGCUAAUACCGCAUACGUCCUGAGGGAGAAAGUGGGGGAUCUUCGGACCUCACGCUAUCAGAUGAGCCUAGGUCGGAUUAGCUAGUUGGUGGGGUAAAGGCCUACCAAGGCGACGAUCCGUAACUGGUCUGAGAGGAUGAUCAGUCAUACUGGAACUGAGACACGGUCCAGACUCCUACGGGAGGCAGCAGUGGGGAAUAUUGGACAAUGGGCGAAAGCCUGAUCCAGCCAUGCCGCGUGUGUGAAGAAGGUCUUCGGAUUGUAAAGCACUUUAAGUUGGGAGGAAGGGCAGUAAGUUAAUACCUUGCUGUUUUGACGUUACCAACAGAAUAAGCACCGGCUAACUUCGUG
rnacentral:rRNA from 1 species